AUACAUGCAAGUCGAACGCACAGCGAAAGGUGCUUGCACCUUUCAAGUGAGUGGCGAACGGGUGAGUAACACGUGGACAACCUGCCUCAAGGCUGGGGAUAACAUUUGGAAACAGAUGCUAAUACCGAAUAAAACUUAGUGUCGCAUGACACAAAGUUAAAAGGCGCUUUGGCGUCACCCAGAGAUGGAUCCGCGGUGCAUUAGUUAGUUGGUGGGGUAAAGGCCUACCAAGACAAUGAUGCAUAGCCGAGUUGAGAGACUGAUCGGCCACAUUGGGACUGAGACACGGCCCAAACUCCUACGGGAGGCUGCAGUAGGGAAUCUUCCACAAUGGGCGAAAGCCUGAUGGAGCAACGCCGCGUGUGUGAUGAAGGCUUUCGGGUCGUAAAGCACUGUUGUAUGGGAAGAACAGCUAGAAUAGGGAAUGAUUUUAGUUUGACGGUACCAUACCAGAAAGGGACGGCUAAAUACGUGCCAGCAGCCGCGGUAAUACGUAUGUCCCGAGCGUUAUCCGGAUUUAUUGGGCGUAAAGCGAGCGCAGACGGUUGAUUAAGUCUGAUGUGAAAGCCCGGAGCUCAACUCCGGAAUGGCAUUGGAAACUGGUUAACUUGAGUGCAGUAGAGGUAAGUGGAACUCCAUGUGUAGCGGUGGAAUGCGUAGAUAUAUGGAAGAACACCAGUGGCGAAGGCGGCUUACUGGACUGUAACUGACGUUGAGGCUCGAAA
rnacentral:rRNA from 1 species